AGGCAUUAAUUAGAAAUAAAUAUUAUGGAAUGUCUGUCUAUGUUCAGUUAUAAUCUAUUUUCUAUUCAAAAAAUUUUAUCUUCUUAAUGUGUUACUUUUGUGUUCAGUAUACCUGAGCAAUAUAGCAUAUUAUAAUAAUCUAUAGUGGCACUCUUUGUUAGACUAGGAAAAGGAAAUUUGUGUAAUGUGGAAAAGCCAUCCAGGUAAAAUUGUACCAUCUUAAAGUGGCACAGCCUCUCCUCCAUACUCCCAAUGCCAUUCAAAAAUCUCUCACACUGUGGGACAGAGUCAGCUACAUGGCUCUUUUAGAUGACUGGGCUCUAGUCUCUUAGGUUUGUUUAUAAACUCACUAAGAAGAGAUUAUUUAACUGUGUGAAUUUCUUUAUGGGUAGAAUAUUAUCUACUUUAAAUUUAAAUAACGCUAGAAACUUUUUUUCUUUUUUCUUUUUUUUUUUUGGCUGAAGUUUUUGUGAGAAACAGCUAACAUAUUUUACUUGGAGGAAAAUAAGAAAACUGAAGUACAUUUAUUUUGAAUACUUUUAUACCAUUGUCUUCCCAUGCAUUUAUGGAAAGAAAACCUACUAAGUAAACAGAAAAUCAUAAUUGUUUUUCAAAUCUUUGACUUACUUCUUAUCUAAUGAACUUUUUCCUUCACAUGUAAUCCACUAGCCAACACAUUCCCCAUAAACCAGCAAGUUUAUUACAAUAAUAGGCAUAGUUGACCUUGAUAUUUAUUUUUUCCAACAAAAAUGUGUUGAUUGAUUUCCACUCACAGAUCACUGUACAUUUUUUUCUUAGAAAACCUGUUGUUUUUACGUCAUAAUUUUUGUUUUUAUUUUAAAUUGACAGAUAAAAUUGUAUGUAUUUAUCAUGUACAACAUGAUGUUUUGCAGGAUAUGUACAGAAUGGUUAAUUCUAUUUAUGAGAACAAGGUUUUACGGUCCCACAAGAGUGAAAUCUUGCUAUGUUUGUCUUUCUGUGCCUGGCUCAUUUCACUUAACAUAAUGCCCUCCACAUUCAUUCCUGUUGUCACAAGUGUCAGAAUUCCCUUCCUUUUAUGACAGAGUAGUAUUCCACUAUAUACAUAUUCCACAUUUUCUUUAUCCAUUCAUCUGUUGGUGGUCACAUAUGUUACUUCCAUGUCUUGGCUAUUAUAAUACAGCUGCAAUGAACAUGAGAGUGCUGAUAUCUGUUCAACAUGCUGAUUUCAACUCCUUUUGAAAUAUGUCCAGUAGAGAACAGUAUAUGUUUUGUCAGCAUUUCUUAAAUUUUUGUCAACUAACCAAGCUAAACUUGAUUCUUUCAGUUUUAACUUUUCACUGAAAUUUCCAAAUGCACCUGUGUCUUUCCUUACACUGAUUUUGUCUAAUAUCCUAUGACUAUUUCUGCCAAUCUUAUCAAUUUUCCACAUCUACUAAUAACAGCUUAUACCUGAUAGCUAUUGUCCUCCUUUUCUUAUUCUAGCAAAAAGAUUCUGAUAUGAUCUAUCAGAAAAAGAGACCCAAAGGAGCAUUUUUAAAAGUUGAAGUGAUUGCAUGACGUCAUUUUUAGUCACUUUGUGAUAUAAAUUUAUCUUGUUGGGUUUUUAUAAUAUUUAGAAAUAUUAGCAAUAUUUAGGAUAUGGUUUUAUAGAUGUAACUUAGUUUAACUUGUUAUUUUGCAUUUCUAUACAUUCACAGGGAGUUUUAAAGACAGCCUAGAGAGGUUGCUUGUACCCUUCACCCAGUUUUUUCCAUUGGUUACACUUGAUGUAACUAUGGUAAAAUAUCAUUGCAGAAAAUUGACAUUGGUAAAAAGUGUGUGUAUAGUGCGAUGCCAUUUUAUUGCAUGUUUAGGUUCUGGUUACCAACGCCAAAUGAAGGUACAGAACUAUUUUGAAAAACUAUUCCAUGACCACAUCUCCCUCGUGCUACUCCUUUAUAGUUACACACACACCUAACCCACGGAAUCCACUAACCUGCUUGCGAUUUUAAUCAUUUUGUCAUUCAGUGGCAUCACACAGUAUACAAUUUUUGACACAGCCUUUUUCCUUCAGCAUAAUGCUCUUCAUAUCAAUUCAAGCUUUGGUAUUAGUUCAUUCAUUUUUACUGCUGAAAGUAUAUCAUGAUAUGGUGGUACAAAAGUUUGCUCAAUCAUUCAACUAUUUAGAAACAUUUGAUUAUUUCCAGUGUUUGGCUAUUACAAAUGAAUUUGGUAUGAAUAAUUGUUUAUGGAUCUUAUGUAAGCAUGAAUUUGUAUGUCUCUAGAAUAAAUGCCCAGGAAUACAAUCACUGGUUAACAUGGUCAAUUUCUGUUUGGUUUGAUUUAAAAAAAAUGCCAAAGCAUUUUUUCAGAGUGGCUUUAUGACUUUAUAUUCCUUACAGAAAUAUAUGAGCAAUCCGUUUUCUCUUUCUCUUCACCAGCAUUUGGAGUUAUCAGUAACUGUUACUUUAGCUCUCCUAACAUUGUAGGACAUUACAUUGCUAGGAUGAUUUUCGUUUCCUUAAAGUUUAAUGAUGUUUAACAUUCUAUCAGGUGCUUAUUUGCCAUCCAUAUAGCCUCUUUAGUGAAAUGUGUCUUCAUUUUUUUUUCCAUUUUCUAAUUAGUGGGUUUUUUUAAAGUGAAGUUUUGAGAAUCCUUUAUAAAUUCUAGAUAUGGGCUCUUUAUCAGAUUUGUGGUUUGAAGCUAUUUUUUGCCAGCUUGUGGCUUGUCUUUCAUCUUAACAGAAUUUUCAAAGCUAGUUUUAAUUGAUUUUUGAUUGAUGUUUUUGGAUGGACCAUGCUUCUGGUGUUCAUGUCUAAGAAGUCUUAACCAAACUCUAGGUCCUAGUAUUUUCUCCUAUAUUUUAUUAUCAAAGUUUUAUAGAGUUAAAGGUUGAAAUUAAAUUUAUGUUCCAUUUUGAAGUUUAUUUUUUUCUUUUACAUGAGGAGUGAAGUUUAAAUCAAGGUCUACUUUUACCUGUUGAUAUCCAAUUGCUCCAGCACCAUUUUUUGAAAAGACUAUCCUUCCUCCAUUUAAUUGCUUUUGAAUAUUUGUCAAAAAUCACUUGGUCAUUUUUGUAUGUGACUAUUUCCGGGGCAUCUCUUCCGGUCCAUUGAUCUAUGUAUCUAUCCCUCUGCUGUUACCACACAGUUUGAUAACUGUGUACCGUUAUCUUGAAAAUCAGAUAUAAUGAUCCAUCCUGCUUUAUUCUUUCUUUUCAAAAUUGUUUUUGCUAUUACAUUUUUUUGGUUUGACUCUAUAAAUUUUACAACAAUAACGUCUAUAUCCACAACAUAUCUAGUUGAAAUUUUGGCAGGAAUUUCUUUUUUUUAUUUUUAUUUUUAUUUUAUUUUUAUUAAUUUUUAUUUUUUUAUUUUUUAUUUUUAUUAUUAUACUUUAGGUUUUAGGGUACAUGUGCACAAUGUGCAGGUUUGUUACAUAUGGAAUUUCAUUGUAUCAAUUUGACAAUGACAUCUUCACUAUUUUGAGUGUUACAAUCCAUGAACACAGUAUGACUUUAUUCACAUUUUAAUUUAUUUCACCAGAAUCGUUGAGUUUUCAGGUUAAAGUCCUGUAGAUGUUUUAAGUUUAUAUCACAGCAUUUUAUCAUUUUUUGAGCAAUUGUAAAUAAUAUUGGAAUUUUAUUUUUAGGUUCGAUGUAUUGCUAGUAUAUAGAAAUACAAAGCAAUUUUUGAAUGUUGAUCUGUAUUUUUGUGGUUUUUGCUGAACUUACUUAUUGGUUCUAGGAGGUUAGUUUUUAUAUUCUUUAAGAUUUUCUAUGUAGGUGAUCAUGUGAUCUACAAAUAGGGACAAUAUUAUUUCUUCCUUCAGACUCUUUUGCAUAUGUUUCCAAGUCAUCUUGCACUGUUUAAAAAUGUCAGGACUAUGUUCACAAAAAUUGAAAAGAGUAAACUUCUUGCCUUGUUUCUAAACUCAAGGGUAAAGAUUCACUCUUUCACCAUUAUGUAUUAUGUUAGCUGUAGUUUUUCUUUUUUCUUUUUAGAUCUUCUUUAUUAAGUUCAGGAUGUUCUUUCCUACUAUUAAUUUUCUGAGAGUAUUUAUUAAUUAUAAAUGUGUGCUGAAUUGUCAAAUUAUUCUUCAGGUGAUUUUUCCUUUUAGCCUGCUAAAAUAAUGGAUUUUACUAAUUGCUUUUAAAAUGUUGAAACAGGCUGCUUGCCUGGAAUAAGACCCCUUGGUCACAGUGUAUAUUUCCUAUAUAUGUUGCUUAAUUCUACUUUAAAAAUUUUUUAAAAACAAUUUUACAUCGAUAUUUUUAAGACAUAUUACUCUGUAGUUUAUUUGUUUUUGCCUUUUCUUGUUUUGAUUCUGUCUUUGCUAAUUUUGGAACAGUAGUGCUAGCUUCAUUAAAGUGAAUUGGUAAGUGUUUUAUCCUCUUUCAUUUUCAGGAAGAGGUUGCAUAGAAUUGGUGUUUAUUUCAUUUUUUAAUAUGUUGAUAAAUUAUAGUUGAAAAUAUUUAUGGAGUACAAAGUGGCAUGACAGUUCAAUGUAAUGUAAAAUGACUAAAUUAAGCUAAUUAACAUAUUUAUCACUUCAAAUAUGCAACAAUUUUGAUGGUGAGAACAUGAGAAAUUUACUCUCAGCAAAACUGAAAUGUGCAGUACUCAGUUAUUAACCAUAUUCAGCACAUUGUGCUACUGAUUUAGAAAAUAAAGCAAAUGUAUUCCUUCUAACUGAGACUUUGUACCCUUUGAUUAUCAUCUUCCCAUUCUCCCCAGUCCCCAGCCUUUGUAACCACCUUUCUAUUCCAUUCUAAAUGUUUCUUUUUAGAUUUCUUAUAUAAGUGAGAACAUGUGGUAUCUGUCUUUCUUGUUUCUUGCUUAUUUAAUUUAGCAUAAUAUUCUCCAUCUAUGUUGUCACAAACAACAGAACUUCAUUUUUAAGGCUAAAUAGUGUUGCAUUUUGCAUAUAUAUUACAUUUUCUUUCUUCAUUCAUCCCUUCAUAGACACUUAGGUUAAUUCAAUCCCUUGGUUAUUUUGAACAGUGCUGGAAUGAACAUAGGAGUUCAGACAUCUAUUUGACAUAUUGAUUUCAAAUCUUUUGGGUAAAUACCCAGAAGCGGGAUUGCCGGAUCAUAUGGUAACUCCCUUUUUAGUUUUUUGAGGGACCACCGUAUUGGUUUCCAUAAUAAUUGUACUAAUUAACAUUCCCACCAUUAGUGUAUGAAGGUUCUCUUUUCUCAUAUCUGUGCCAAUGCUCGUCUUUUGUCUUUUCUUUAAUAACAAUAAUUCUAAUAGAAAUAAGGCCAUAUCUCAUAGUGGUUUUAGUUUGCAUCUCCCCAAUGAUUAGUGAUGUUGAAAUUUUUAUGAUGUAUCUGUCAGCUAUUUGUAUCUUUGAAGAAAUUCAGGUUCCUUGCCCAUUUCUUAAUCAGAUUAUUUGUUUUAUUUCUUCAGAGUUAGUUGAGUUCCUUAUGUAUUUUGGAUAUUAAUCCCUUAUCAGAUGUAUGGCUUCCAAAUAUUUUCUCUCAAUCUGAAGGUUGACUGUUCACUCUUGUUUCCUUUGAUGUGCAGAAGCUUUUUACUGUGAUGUAACACUAUUUAUCUAUUUCUUCUUUUGUUGACGGUGGUUUUUGAGUCAAAUUAAAAAAAAAAGUUACCCAAACCAAUGUUAGAUAGUUUUCCCCUAUUUUCUUCUAGUAGUUUUACAGUGUCCAGUCUUACGUUUAAGUCUCUAAGACUUUUGAGUUGGAUUUUAUACAUGGUCUGAGAUAAGGGUCCAGUUUCAUUUUCUGCAUGUGGAUAUCCCAUUUUCUCAACAAUGUUUAUUAAAGAGACUGUCAUUUCCCCAUUGUAUUUUUGCUCUUAAAUGUUGGGUAGAAUUUGCAAAUGAAAAGAUCUGGUCCUAUAGAUUGCUUUUUUGAGAAGUUUUUAUGUUAUACUUCCUAUUUUCUUAAUAGUAAUAAAGCUCCCAAAUUAUGUGUUUGAUAUUGGACAAGUUGAGGUAGUUUGUCCUUUUAAUGUAAUUGAUCCAUAUUAUCUAACUUGUUCAUUUAUGUGUAAAGCUAUACAUAUAGUAUUACUCCCUUAAUGUACUUUUGGUUUUUCCAGGGUCUGUAGUGACAUCCCCUCUUUCAUAGUAAUAUUGGUAAUUUAUGUCUUCUCUUGUUUUCUUUCUCAAUCUUUUUAGAGAUUUGUCAGUUUCAUUAAUCUUUUCCAAGAAACAGAUUUUUGUUUCAUUGAUUUCCUCUAUUGUUUUCCUGUUUUCAAUUUCAUUGAUUUCUGCUUUAUUUUUCUUCUGUUGCUUUAGGCUACAAUUGCUUUUUCUCUAGUUUAUUAAGUUAGAAGCUGACAUUAUUGUUUCAGAUCUUCUUCUUCUCUAAUAUAUGUUGUUAAUGCUGUAAAUCAUCCUCUAGACAUUGCAUUUACCACAUCUCACAUUUUGAUAAGUUGCAUUGUCAUUUUCAUUUAAGUCAAAAUAUUUUUAAGUUAGUCUUAAGUCAUCUACUUUGGCUUAUGUGUUAUGUAGAAGUAUGUUGUUUAAUCGUCAAAUAUUGGAGGAUGUCCCACAUCUGACUGUGUUAUUGAUUUUUGGCAUAACUCUAUUGAUGUCUGAUAAUACACUUUGUAUGAUUUCUGUUAUUUUAAAUAUGUUAAUGUGUAUUUAUUGCCCAAAACAUAAUCUUUCUUCAUGAAUGUUCCACAUAAGCUGGAGGAGAAUUUGAGUUCUCUUGCCACUGGAUGGAUAAUUCUAUAAAUAGCCAUUAGAACUAACUGAUUUACAGUGCUAUUCAGUCAACUAAAUGAAAUUUUUGCCUGCUUAAUCAAUGUUAAUAAAAAAAAAGAGUGAUAAAGUCUCAAACUACACUCUUACAUUUGCAUAUUUUUAUCUUUAACAACUAUCAAGUUUUGCCUCACAAAUUUUGACUCUCUUUUUAAUUGUGUACAAGUUAAGGAUUGUUAAAUUGCCUUGUAAAACUGAUCAUUAUUCCUGAUAAUCUUCCUUGUUUGGAAGUCUGAGUAUUUUCCUUGAAAUUUAUAUAGCUAACCCAAUCGUUUUAUUUUUAUUUUUUUAAUUCGUGUUAGUAAAGCAUAUCUUUCUCUAUCCUUUUAGUUAAACUAUCUAAUGCUUUAUAUUUAAAGUGGAUUUCUGAUAGAGAGUGUAUCAGCAUACACUUGGGUGUAUUCUGAAGCUCACUAUGUUUUAAUUGGGAUGUUUAAGAUUAUGUCCACUUGAAAUAAUUAUUGAAUUAAUAUUUACCAUACUUAAGCAUUUUCAAUGUGUUGCAUUUGCUUUUGUUUAUUUUCCCCUCUUUUUCGGUUUUAGUGGGUUUUAAUUGAGCAUUUUAUGUCCUUUCCAAGCAUACCCACCACACAUUUUUAAAAAUAGCAAUUGCCCUAGAGUUCAUAAUAUAUCAUUUUAACUGAUCUAAAUCCACAUUCAAAUAACAAUAAACCACUUUACUUGUAUAGGGACCUUACAACAGAGUACUCCCAAUUCCUCUCUCACCUCUUAUGACAUUGAAAUCAUUCAUUAAACUUAUCUAUAUGAUAUAAUCACCUUAUAAUUAUUACUAUUAUUAUUUUAAGCAGCUAUAUUUCCAGCCAAGAAUUAAACAAAUAAAACAUUAAAUAUAUCUUAAUGUAUUCUUCCUCCUGUGCUCUCCCUUUCUUUCUACAGGUAUGCAUUUGUGAGUUAUAUUCUUUUCCUUCUCCCUGAAGAACUUUUAACAUUUCUUACAAGACAUUUUCUAGUGAUGAAUUCCCUCAGUUUUUGUCUAAGAAGGUCUUUAUUUAUUCUACAUGUUCAAAGGAUAGUUUUGUAGAACAUAGAGAAUGGUCUGUAGUUCAGGGCCUUCUUCUCCACAGAAGCAAUCUUGGCUGUCAAUCUCCAAAUUGGCCUGUCUCCCCAGAGUUUAACAUUGAUGAUAAAACUGGCAGCUUCAGUUAACUUAUGCUUACAUGGAAAGAUACAGAAGGAGCAAAUCAAUCCAGCCAGCCAAAUCAGCUGACCCACUGAAAACAGUCCUUGGAAUGACAGGUGUCCAAGCCAUCUGUCAGUACCAAAGAAUCAGACAUUCUUCAGGAGAGAAGACCCACCUGAACCAUGCUCCUGAGUGAGAUAGAAACUCUCUGGCUUUCUGUAAAAAAAUUCCUUGAUUUUACAAUAAAUCUUGAUAGAUUUGUCAAUAUAUUUUACCAUAAAUAAGCCUAUUCUAGUGAAAUUGAUCACUAAUUCAGUUUUGCAAUUAAACUGCAUAUUACUCAUAAGAAGUUUCUUGCACUGAUCCUUGUUAUCCAUGUGGCAGAUGCCAUGUGAAGAGUUAGCUGAGAUUAAAUUUAAUUAAAUUCAUAAUCUCCUUCUGAAAACUUUCUAGAAAUUUUGAAAGCGAUUGGAUUUUAGUCUCAGAAGAUGUGUCUCUGCCUAUAAUCUUUUUGAAAGAGGAGAGCUUGGAUUCAAUCAGUACCUAGAGUUCAACAGUUUGUCUGGAUUGAUAAUACUUUUAAAGUUACUUUUUAAAUUAAGCUAUAAUUUAUCACCUUUGUGAUAAAUCUGAUUGAUCCUUAUCAUUGUCACUUGAAAUAAAAAUUAUAAUAAAAUGUCAGGAUUUCUUAAACCAAUCUCAAUCUUUCAUCUAUGCCUAAUUAUAAACGAUAUAUUCAAACAGGAAAUGUAGCCAUAAUAAUCCUACUUAAAUAGUGUGAUAUGAUGAUGAAAUGGCAUUUUUAAACAUUUUUGGCUCUUCUUUGUGAUUGUUUGAUUAUAUAACUUGCGUUUAAUUAUUUUGUCCUAAAGUGCCAAUAUAAAUAAAAAUGAAAAACAAUGAAACUUAUUUACAAUGUGAUAUGUCAUAUACUGACGUGGUUCAUUUUGUGAGGUUUUUGUUUAUUUGUAGCAGCAAAUCAAAGUGCAUAGACUAUAUAUAUGUAUAUAUACGUAUAUAUAUGUAUAUACACAUUUGUCUAUGCCCCUUGUUCACACUUCAGACUGAGGUAUCCAAUAUUAAAAUGUCUUGUUCUUCCUCAUACAACUUUUCCCAGAUGGAUAUUUUAACUUUUAUUAUAAAAAAAUAAAAACAUCAAAAUCUCCUGAAGAAUGUAAUCUUCUAAAAGUCUCAGCUGAUUGUUCUGUUUUGGUCUCAUGACAUCCACUUGAUUGUAAUUAAGGGAGUGGUUCCUGCCCUAGAAGACAGGGCCCCAGGAGAAUGAUCUUCCUGGACUGGUGCACAUGUGGCCAUCUGGUGGUCAGCCCAAGGUGAGACCCCACCCUACAAAGCAAACUCAGUCUAUGGCAUUUUGAUUCUCAGAAUUGGAAGAUGGAAACAGAUUUCUUUGCCUUUGCCUUCAACACCACUGGACUGCCACUAAAUGAAGUCAAAUGAGGUCGCUUUGAGACAUCCAGGUGGCUGAGUUGCGAGACAGUUUCUUCUUGCUUCUAGCAUGUUACUUUUCUAUAGUAUCCUCAGCUUUGUCAGGGUACUGGAGUUAAGCCCAUCUCACUUGCAAUUUUUUGACUUGGCUAUUCUCUAUUUGCCAGGUCCCUUUUAUUUUUAUUUUAAGUGUCCAACCCUAGGGUGGACAAUUGAAAAGGCCUUGCCAGAGCCCAAAUCAAACUGUUAUUAGAGCUAUAGGCUUAGUAUUGAAUCAAGUCAAGCCAAUUACAUUACACAAAGAACACCGAGGAAAUUGUCAGGAGCAGAAAAUAAAACACAGUAGAUGAGUGCACAAAAUAUAUUUUCUUGACCCCAAUUUUCCAAGUACAUAGAAAACACAAACACUCAUGUCCCUGUAGGUGAAAACCGUUGUAUCAUCCAGUCCAAAGUGGUUUUCUAACUAUUUUACUGGUCCACAUAAACAUGAAGAGAAUAUAAAAUUUUGAUUUUUUUCUAAUGCUAUGAUUGAAAAUAAAGUACUUAUUUAUUUUUUCCAAAAUUUUGAUGACAAAAUAGUUUAUUUUCAAAUCAACUCAUAUAAAUUUAUUCAUAUGCCAGAAAACAUCCCCCCCCACUGCAACUGGUAUGUGGUAUGCCACAGCCUACAUACUUUUUAAGUCUAUUUUAUCAAUACUACUUUCAUUCCUUUUGGGUUUGCUUUUAUCACUCAAUAAUUAUUCACAAGAAUAUAAUUUGGUUUGCUGGAGCCAUAUGAAAGAAAUUCCUAUACAGAAUACUUCACUGAGAAAUUCCUGUUCAGAUGUUAAGAUUUUGGCACCUCCACACAUACAUGAUGAUUUA